rnacentral:rRNA from 1 species
UACGAAGGGGGCUAGCGUUGUUCGGAAUUACUGGGCGUAAAGCGCGCGUAGGCGGUGAUCUUUGUCAGAGGUGAAAGCCCGGGGCUCAACUCCGGAAUUGCCUUUGAAACGGGAUCGCUUGAGUCCGAGAGAGGAUGGCGGAAUUCCUAGUGUAGAGGUGAAAUUCGUAGAUAUUAGGAAGAACACCGGUGGCGAAGGCGGCCAUCUGGCUCGGUACUGACGCUCAGGCGCGAAAAGCGUGGGGGAGCAAAACAGG